GUUUCUUCAAUUAUCAUUACAAUGAAAUAAUUUAAUGUGCUGCUGAAGAAAUGCUUUAACAUGCUUUUGAGAAAUUUAAACUGCAGACUUCAGAUAAUUUCCUAAUUGUGGUAAAGAUUAGGAGUAGGGUGGGCUAAAUACUCUGCUUAGCUUCUAAUGAUCUUUCUUCCAAAUGAUGCUCAUUUUAUCUACCCGUGGCUCUGUUAUUAUGAACAACUUUUUUAGUAUAAACAACUAAUUCAAGAAAAGAUUGAUGUAGUCCAAAACUCACAAAAGGGAAAUAGGCUUACUUGGGCGGGGGUAGGGGGAAGAGCAGGGAGAGAACAUUUUCUAAGUUUCAGGGAGACUGCAAUUUUGUGGUCACUUCCACUUUUAAUCAUGAUAGUGCUCUCGAUGGACAAACUCCAGAACUAGGGCGCAGGAGGUAGCAAGGUGACUUGGAGGUAGAGCUAGAUCUCAGUUAUAAACACAACUUGGAGCCACAGCUUGAAGAUGAAGUUACACCUCAUGGCUGAUGUAAUCUAACAGCAUGCUGAUGCAAGAAUAGUAUGACUCAAACCACCUUUUUAUCUCGGAGGAAACAAUAUAAAAGCAAAGAAAUAUCCCUUGACAGAAAAGCUCUGUACCACUGCUUCAACUUCAACAUAUGUUCAUGCUUUGCAGUUCCACUUGUAUCUUGGUUUCCAAAAUGCUUUCAGAUACUCUAAAGAACCUUUGAAGCAACUGCAUGGUCUCUUUAAGCAACCUUCCCACAUGAAACUUAUUUCUCCAAUAGCCUUCCAAGCAUGAGAUGUAAGUCCUUUGAUGACCGUUUUGUUGAAGAAUAGUUUAUGGUUUAUUACUAAUUAUGGAAACUCUUAAGAUAUGUUUGUCAUUUUUUAAAUUGAGAACUAUCUGGUUAAUAAUUCAUUCAAAGUUACGGUGAGCAUGCAGUUCUUUACAAAAUUUAACCAGCUUUUAAUUCCAUACACCAAAAAUUGAGUAAUUUUAUGUAGAAAAUAAUUUCAGCAUUUUAUUUUUAAGUAUAGCUCAGUGGAUAUUCUAUUAAGUGGAUUUGAUCCCUGUCCUGAGAGGAUGAGAGAAGGAGGGUUAUCUUUCAAAAAUAAGAAUAGAGGCCAGGCCUGCAUGAGAUAUGUUCUUCAUAUCACAAAAUGGAUAAUUUUGAUUGGAGCAGUUUUUAAUGCUAAAUAAUAGUCUACUAUAUUCACUGAAUUCUGUUAUGCAGGUUAAGUUGCAUCUGUGUAGAUCAUUUAUCAAAAACUUCAGACAAGAAUCUUGAUUUAUGUAAAACAAAACAAAAUAGCCAACCCCCCACCAAAAUUAUAUUAUGUGUAAUACAUGUCUUCUGGUAUUAGUAAACUUUAAAGUGAUCAUCGAAUUCAUUCCACCAGCUGUGUCCUUCCCAACAAUGCUGAGCAGAACUGAAGAGUGCUAAUAAAUCAAGUAGAUAUAUGCA
rnacentral:lncRNA from 1 species